rnacentral:piRNA from 1 species
ACCCAGUACAGAAAGGGAAGUGCAG